GGCAGUUCCUGGGCUCCCGCGGAGCGAUGAGACGUUGUGAAUUAGAUGGUCCCAGGAACUCACAGUAUGCUCUAAAAAGGAGAGGGGCAAGAGCUCUGAGUGAGUACAUCCCGUUGGCCCGUGGGAUUUCUUGCCCUAUGGAAAGGAACAUGGACGGAAGAGAAUCAGGUGCUCAGAGCCCUAGACUGGGGCUCCUCUUGCCCCAGUCUUGAGGCAGUUCUAAAGAGCAGCCUCUGGAACCAGAAUGGACGGUCCUCUAGUAACGCUGGAUUCUAUGGGUUGGAAGUACUGCAGCGGCUGGAUCAGGUUCCAGUAAAGUUUUGUACCUUCAAAUGUCUCUGUUGUUAAACAGUGUUGUAGUUA
rnacentral:lncRNA from 1 species